rnacentral:rRNA from 1 species
GAUGAACGCUGGCGGCGUGCCUAAUACAUGCAAGUCGAGCGAACAGACGAGGAGCUUGCUCCUCUGACGUUAGCGGCGGACGGGUGAGUAACACGUGGAUAACCUACCUAUAAGACUGGGAUAACUUCGGGAAACCGGAGCUAAUACCGGAUGAUAUAUUGAACCGCAUGGUUCAAUAGUGAAAGACGGUUUUGCUGUCACUUAUAGAUGGAUCCGCGCCGCAUUAGCUAGUUGGUAAGGUAACGGCUUACCAAGGCAACGAUGCGUAGCCGACCUGAGAGGGUGAUCGGCCACACUGGAACUGAGACACGGUUCAGACUCCUACGGGAGGCAGCAGUAGGGAAUCUUCCGCAAUGGGCGAAAGCCUGACGGAGCGACGCCGCGUGAGUGAUGAAGGUCUUCGGAUCGUAAAACUCUGUUAUUAGGGAAGAACAAAUGUGUAAGUAACUAUGCACGUCUUGACGGUACCUAAUCAGAAAGCCACGGCUAACUACGUGCCAGCCGCCGCGGUAA